rnacentral:misc_RNA from 1 species
GAUGAAGAACGUAGCGAAAUGCGAUAAGUAAUGUGAAUUGCAGAAUUCAGUGAAUCAUCGAAUCUUUGAACGCACAUUGCGCCCGCUAGUAUUCUGGCGGGCAUGCCUGUCCGAGCGUCAUUUCAACCCUCAUGCCCCUAGGGCGUGGUGUUGGGGAUCGGCCAAAGCCCGCGAGGGACGGCCGGCCCCUAAAUCUAGUGGCGGACCCGUCGUGGCCUCCUCUGCGAAGUAGUGAUAUUCCGCAUCGGAGAGCGAUGAGCCCCUGCCGUUAAACCCCCAACUUUCCAAGGUUGACCUCAGAUCAGGUAGGAAUACCCGCUGAACUUAAGCAUAUCAAUAAGCGGAGGA